GCUGGGUAUGGUGGCGCAUGCCUGUAAUCCCGGCUACUUGGGAGGCUGAGGUGGGAGGAUCACUUGAGCCUGGGAGGUUGAAGCUGCAGUGAGCCAUGAUUGCACCACUGCACUCCAGCCUGGGCAACAAAGCAAGACUCUGUCUCAA
rnacentral:SRP_RNA from 2 species